GAUGAACGCUGGCGGCGUGCUUAACACAUGCCAGUCGAACGGAAAGGCCCAAGCUUGCUUGGGUACUCGAGUGGCGAACGGGUGAGUAACACGUGGGUGAUCUGCCCUGCACUUCGGGAUAAGCCUGGGAAACUGGGUCUAAUACCGGAUAGGACCACAUUUUGGAUGGUGUGGUGGAAAGUUUUUCGGUGUGGGAUGAGCUCGCGGCCUAUCAGCUUGUUGGUGGGGUAAUGGCCUACCAAGGCGUCGACGGGUAGCCGGCCUGAGAGGGUGUACGGCCACAGUGGGACUGAGAUACGGCCCAGACUCCUACGGGAGGCAGCAGUGGGGAAUAUUGCACAAUGGGCGCAAGCCUGAUGCAGCGACGCCGCGUGGGGGAUGACGGCCUUCGGGUUGUAAACUCCUUUCGCUAGGGACGAAGCGUUUUUGUGACGGUACCUGGAGAAGAAGCACCGGCUAACUACGUG
rnacentral:rRNA from 1 species